AUGACAGCAAUGUUCUGCUCAAAAAGCCAGAGACUCUUGACAACAGCCAACGACUGCGACGAUGGCCCUCUUAUUUCUGUUGAUCUGCAAAAGCGGAGGGAGGCGACGCAUGUCCCUGCUCCAGCAGUCCGACCUGCUAGGGAAGCCCCAGCCCCGCCUCCAUGCCUGCGUGGAACCCAUCAGCGGAGGAGCCGGUCGAGCUCGCGGCCGACCGCCUCGCCUCCGCGCUCAAAGAUCGCCCGAGCUUUGAGCCCUCGUAACCGCCGCAUCGGCCUGGGCAUCGUCGGCGACGCCCUCGAGCACCAACCUCCACCGGUGCGCGUGGGUCCUCCUCGACGCAUGCAGCUUGGGCCUUCAACGUCGUCUGUAUAG
rnacentral:rRNA from 1 species